UAGAGUUUGAUCCUGGCUCAGAGCGAACGCUGGCGGCAGGCUUAACACAUGCAAGUCGAGCGGGCGUAGCAAUACGUCAGCGGCAGACGGGUGAGUAACGCGUGGGAACAUACCUUUUGGUUCGGAACAACACAGGGAAACUUGUGCUAAUACCGGAUAAGCCCUUACGGGGAAAGAUUUAUCGCCGAAAGAUCGGCCCGCGUCUGAUUAGCUAGUUGGUGAGGUAACGGCUCACCAAGGCGACGAUCAGUAGCUGGUCUGAGAGGAUGAUCAGCCACAUUGGGACUGAGACACGGCCCAAACUCCUACGGGAGGCAGCAGUGGGGAAUAUUGGACAAUGGGCGCAAGCCUGAUCCAGCCAUGCCGCGUGAGUGAUGAAGGCCCUAGGGUUGUAAAGCUCUUUUGUGCGGGAAGAUAAUGACGGUACCGCAAGAAUAAGCCCCGGCUAACUUCGUGCCAGCAGCCGCGGUACCCAAUCGCC
rnacentral:rRNA from 1 species